rnacentral:tRNA from 1 species
GCGGGAGUGGCGAAAUCGGUAGACGCACAGGACUUAAAAUCCUGGGGUGGCGACACCGUGCCGGUUCGAGUCCGGCCUUCCGUACCA